CCCUUAGAUGUUCUGGGCCGCACGCGCGCUACACUGACGAAUGCAACGAGCUUAUAACCUUGGCCGAAAGGUCUGGGUAAUCUCCAAAUUUCGUCGUGAUGGGGAUAGAUUAUUGUAAUUAUUAAUCUUCAACGAGGAAUGCCUAGUAAGCGCAAGUCAUCAGCUUGCGUUGAUUACGUCCCUGCCCUUUGUACACACCGCCCGUCGCUCCUACCGAUUGAAUGGUCCGGUGAAGCGCUCGGACCGCGGCCUCUUGACGGUUCGCUGUCGAUUGGCUGUGGGAAGUUCGUUAAACCUUAUCAUUUAGAGGAAGGAGAAGUCGUAACA
rnacentral:rRNA from 1 species